GCUGGGUGUGGUGGCGCAUGCCUGUAAUCCCAGCUACUCAGGAGGCUGAGGCGGGAGAAUUGCUUGAACCCGGGAGGCAGAGGCUGCAGUGAGCUGAGAUUGCGCCACUGCACUCCAGCCUGGGUGACAGAGCGAGACUCCAUCUCUA
ensembl:misc_RNA Metazoa_SRP Metazoan signal recognition particle RNA